rnacentral:piRNA from 1 species
AACCCAGGUUGCUUUCCUUCCUAAGUGUUA